rnacentral:tRNA from 1 species
UUUUAGUUUAAUGGUUAAAACCAUUGUUUUGUAAACAAUUAAUUUCAGUUCGAUUCU